GAUGAACGCUAGCGGCAGGCCUAACACAUGCAAGUCGAGGGGUAGCAGGAUUAAGCUUGCUUAAUUGCUGACGACCGGCGCACGGGUGCGUAACGCGUAUGCAACCUACCUUAUACUGGGGUAUAGCCCGGAGAAAUUCGGAUUAAUCCCCCAUAGUACUAAUGAAUCGCAUGGUUUAUUAGUUAAAGCAUUGCGGUAUAAGAUGGGCAUGCGUCCUAUUAGCUAGAUGGUGAGGUAACGGCUCACCAUGGCUACGAUAGGUAGGGGGCCUGAGAGGGUGGUCCCCCACACUGGUACUGAGACACGGACCAGACCCCUACGGGAGGCAGCAGUGAGGAAUAUUGGUCAAUGGGCGCAAGCCUGAACCAGCCAUGCCGCGCGCAGGAAGAAUGCCCUAUGGGUUGUAAACUGCUUUUAUUUGGGAAUAAACCUCUUUACGUGUAGAGAGCUGAAGGUACCAAAUGAAUAAGCACCGGCUAACUCCGUGCCAGCAGCCGCAGUAA
rnacentral:rRNA from 1 species